UCUCGCUCUCGCUCUCACUCUCGCUCUCGCGCUCUCUCUCUCUCUCUGAGCCCACAGGCCACAGAUGUGGAUUCAUUCCACCUUGACUAAAGGUCAGAGAGUUCAGGCCUAUUCUUGCUCCUUCAAGGUUAUAUGACAGGAGGUUUCACCCUAGGUGUUGCUACUAAGAGGGUGUCUUGACCUAGGGUGUUGUUACUUGGCAUUUUGGGUAUCAAGAAGACAAAAGAAGUCUUUUGCCUUCUUCUCCCCUUUUGGAAUGGGGUUUAUAAAGCCUACGAGAAAUAGAUGUGAGGGGAAUCUCAUUAUUUCUGGAUGCUCUCCCGACUCUAUCAGUUGUCUCUUGGCUAUUUCUUUCUUUUUUUUUCUUUCUUUUUUUUUUUUUUUUGGCUAUUUCUUCCUUAAUCCUCAUGCUUCCCUCUUAAUGCAGACAAAUAAACUGGGCAGGACCCAAAAAUGGCACCCAACGUGAGGCUCAACAAACGGCGUCUCAUCUGUGGAGCUUGGAUAUGGGAGAUGGUUCUUCAAAUGGAAGAGCAGCAUAUAUUAUUGAUGGUAAAGAAUAUGUAGUGCAAACAGACCCAGACUCAGCUCAAAUAGUUGAACUAGCUCUUCAAGUCAUCGAGACUGUCCUUUGUAUUGGAACUAGUAAUUGUGAGGUUAAAAUACUUCUCCAGCAAAUUCAAGAAGCCAUUUCUCAGAGAAAACUGCCAUGCUUUGUGGGUCAUAUUAGUGCACAUUCAAAUCUCCCUGGUCCUUUGGCUGAAGAAAGAAAAUGAAGCUCGGAGGUUUCCUGAAAGUUUGGUGCAGUGUGUGUGAAACAGAAGAGUGCCAUCCCUGAUGAUGUCGUGGAUGCCAAGGUCCACCUCCCAGAAGAGUUGCAAUGAAAUUGCUGAACCUGUGUUCCUGACUCUCCGAUGUCAUCAUUCUGCAGUCUGAAAAGGAAAGGCGGUUAUGGGAAUGGUUGGUGAUACCCAACUUCCUGAUAGUCCUGUUGCACAGAAUUCUAGACCUCUUUGAAUCCUAUUUGCUUUGGAGCUGGCCCAGAAAUGCUGACUGAAUGUUUGGCCAUCUAUCUACAAAAUAUCGUGGGAUGCGGACAUUAACUUUGACAGUAUGAUGUUCAAUCUGAUGUUGAAAUAAAGGACUUGGAGAACUGAGACCUCAGAAAUUUCUCCUUUUGAGGAAAAAAACUUGUUAAAGCAAUAGAACACUGUUAUGAAGGCAACAUGUGAUUAAAGCCCCUUUAGUAUGUGAGGAGGAGGACUGUAAAAGUUUUUGUUGCUACUCAGGGACUGGAACAGUUCAAACAUAUCUUUGGAAGUUUGGUAGCAGUAAUGUAAUUGAACUAUAGGAGAGGAAAAAGACUAUUAGCUCACCUAUCCCAGAAACUUUCUCUUGUUUUUUGAUUACAAUGAAGUUAUGAGAAUUGUAACUUGACAAAUUGUGUGUUUAUUGAUAAUUUUUAUACCAGAAUUAUGGUAUUGACCUGUUAAUGUUUGCAACUACUUCGAUUCACUAUAAAAAUGUUACUGAUUAGGAAAAGGUUAGAGUUUUCUGAGAAAAUUUGACAUGAUGCCAAUGAGUCCUUAGAUUUGAUAUAUUUGAUUAGACAAAUUUUGAUUUUGAUGCAGCUAAAACUAUUAAAGACAUACUAGACCAAUU